rnacentral:rRNA from 1 species
AGAUGUUUGAUCCUGGCUCAGAGCGAACGCUGGCGGCAGGCCUAACACAUGCAAGUCGAACGGAUCCUUCGGGAUUAGUGGCGGACGGGUGAGUAACACGUGGGAACGUGCCCUUUGGUUCGGAACAACUCAGGGAAACUUGAGCUAAUACCGGAUGUGCCCUUCGGGGGAAAGAUUUAUCGCCAUUGGAGCGGCCCGCGUCUGAUUAGCUAGUUGGUGGGGUAAAGGCCCACCAAGGCGACGAUCAGUAGCUGGUCUGAGAGGAUGAUCAGCCACAUUGGGACUGAGACACGGCCCAAACUCCUACGGGAGGCAGCAGUGGGGAAUCUUGCGCAAUGGGCGAAAGCCUGACGCAGCCAUGCCGCGUGAAUGAUGAAGGUCUUAGGAUUGUAAAAUUCUUUCACCGGGGACGAUAAUGACGGUACCCGGAGAAGAAGCCCCGGCUAACUUCGUGCCAGCAGCCGCGGUAAUACGAAGGGGGCUAGCGUUGCUCGGAAUUACUGGGCGUAAAGGGAGCGUAGGCGGACUGUUAAGUUAGAGGUGAAAGCCCAGGGCUCAACCUUGGAAUUGCCUUUGAUACUGGCAGUCUUGAGUACGGAAGAGGUAUGUGGAACUCCGAGUGUAGAGGUGAAAUUCGUAGAUAUUCGGAAGAACACCAGUGGCGAAGGCGACAUACUGGUCCGUUACUGACGCUGAGGCUCGAAAGCGUGGGGAGCAAACAGGAUUAGAUACCCUGGUAGUCCACGCCGUAAACGAUGAGUGCUAGUU